GUCUGCGAUUGUAUUUCAAAUAGCGGAUACAUAGGAUUUUUGACUGCUCUUAGUCUUACAUUUAAUUUGUGUUUAUAUAUUUCAAUAUGGUAUAUGGAUUGCAAUAUGCAGUAUGAAUUUUGCUCAUUGUUGAUGGUCGUAAAGUAACGUGCAGUUGUUAGCUUCUAUGUUAUUUUGUCUCAUAUUUCCCCAUACCACAUG
rnacentral:lncRNA from 1 species